CAACCCGAGAGAACCCAACCGGUGGACCUCGGAUCAGGUAGGGAUACCCGCUGAACUUAAGCAUAUCAAUAAGCGGAGGAAAAGAAACCAACCGGGAUUGCCCCAGUAACGGCGAGUGAAGCGG
rnacentral:rRNA from 1 species